GGAGUUAGCCGGUGCUUCUUCUGUGAGUGAUGUCCUUCCUGCCGGUUAUUGACCCGCAGGCCUUCUUCCUCACUGAAAGUGCUUUACAACCCGAAGGCCUUCUUCACACACGCGGCAUGGCUGGAUCAGGGUUGCCCCCAUUGUCCAAUAUUCCCCACUGCUGCCUCCCGUAGGAGUCUGGGCCGUGUCUCAGUCCCAGUGUGGCUGAUCAUCCUCUCAGACCAGCUACGGAUCGUCGCCUUGGUGAGCCGUUACCUCACCAACCAGCUAAUCCGACAUAGGCUCAUCCGAUAGCGCGAGGCCCGAAGGUCCCCCGCUUUCCCCCGUAGGGCGUAUGCGGUAUUAGCCUGGGUUUCCCCAGGUUAUCCCCCACUACCGGGCAGAUUCCUAUGCAUUACUCACCCGUCCGCCGCUCGCCACCAGGGAGCAAGCUCCCCGUGCUGCCGCUCGACUUGCAUGUGUUAGGCCUGCCGCCAGCGUUCAAUCCGAGCCAUGAUCAAACUCUGA
rnacentral:rRNA from 1 species